rnacentral:pre_miRNA from 1 species
AAUAUACUCCCUCCGUCCGGAAAUACUUAUCGGAAAAAUGGAUGUAUCUAGAUGUAUUUUAGUUUUAGAUACAUCCAAUUUUAGACAAGUAUUUCCGGACGGAGGGAGUAUGUU